UACAGAGGUCUCAAGCGUUUGUUCGGAUUCAUUGGGCGUAAAGGGUGCGUAGGCGGCGCGGUAAGUCGGGUGUGAAAUCUCGGAGCUUAACUCCGAAACUGCAUUCGAUACUGCCGUGCUUGAGGACUGGAGAGGAGACUGGAAUUUACGGUGUAGCGGUGAAAUGCGUAGAUAUCGUGAAGGAAUACCGAUGGCGAAGGCGGCCCCUGGGAUAACACGUUCG
rnacentral:rRNA from 1 species